UACAGAGGGGGCAAGCGUUGUUCGGAAUUACUGGGCGUAAAGGGCGCGUAGGCGGCCAACUAAGUCGGACGUGAAAUCCCCGGGCUCAACCCGGGAACUGCGUCCGAUACUGGAUGGCUUGAAUCCGGGAGAGGGAUGUGGAAUUCCAGGUGUAGCGGUGAAAUGCGUAGAUAUCUGGAGGAACACCGGUGGCGAAGGCGGCAUCCUGGACCAAUUCUGACGCUGAGGAGCGAAAGCCAGGGGAGCAAACGGG
rnacentral:rRNA from 1 species